ACUUACGGUCAUACCACCCUGCUAUAUGUCCGAUCUAGGAAGCUAAGCAGGGUCGGGCCUGAUUAGUAGUACUUGGAUGAGAGACCACCUGGGAAUACCAGGUACUGUAAGCA
rfam:Scleropages formosus scaffold22333, whole genome shotgun sequence.